CCUACGGGAGACAGCAGUAGGGAAUAUUGCUCCAUGGGGGAAACCCUGAAGCAGCAACGCCGCGUGGAGGAUGAAGGUUUUCGGAUUGUAAACUCCUUUUGUUAGAGAAGAUAAUGACGGUAUCUAACCAAUAAGCACCUGCUAACUCCGUGCCAGCAGCCGCGGUAAUACGGAGGGUGCAAGCGUUACUCGGAAUCACUGGGCGUAACGAGCGCGUAGGCGGGAUAGCAAGUCAGAUGUGAAAUCCUAUGGCUUAACCAUAGAACUGCAUUUGAAACUGGUAUUCUAGAGUAUGGGAGAGGUAGGUGGAAUUCUAGGUGUAGGGGUAAAAUCCGUAGAGAUCAAGAGGAAUACUCAUUGCGAAGGCGACCUGCUAGAACAUAACUGACGCUGAUGCGCGAAAGCGUGGGGAGCAAACAGGAUUAGAUACCCGUGUAGUC
rnacentral:rRNA from 1 species